UUUCGUAUCUCGCGCACGUUAACGUCGCUAUUCUGAUAAUUAAAAGACGGCCACACUCUUCGUGUUUUCUGUCAGCGGAAUAUUAAUUCCAACAACAUACGGAACGAAGACGGGCAGGCUUCUCGUUUUAUUUCACUUGGUGGGCAAACUCUUCAUCACGGUGGAGUCGAGUCUUUCCACGUCUCGCGAGGCCGUGGCGUCACCAGUGGGGUACGAGGGCGAGCACGAGCGCGGGAAGUGAAGACACGCACCUGUUCGGUACAAGGUCACGUGUGUCAAAUUUUAGACGCGAAUUGCUUCAUAGGUUUUGUGAAAUGAGUGGCUGAUAAAAUAUUACAAAAUCCUGGGACAGUCUCUGCCUGAAAGGUGAUGAUGUCAUGCUAAGAAGAGUGCCAAAAGUAAGCAGCCAGCAUUGAGUACCAUUAUAAACAACAAAAUGGCAGUGUCCAUGAAAACAGCAUCCAAAAUGGUGGCACCAUGAGAAAACAGCCAUACAAAAUAACAAUACAACGACAUCACUUUAAUAAUAAUGAAAUAUGUUAAAAAUAAAAAUAAAAUGAAUAACUUUUAGAAAAUAACAGGCUUGUGUCUAACAUGUUCCUAAUAGUAGGAAGGAAAGAAAGGAAAAAAGGUUGCUGUUGAAAAUGUAGUCUGUCACUGGCUUUAAUUACCUGUCAUCCUGAGGAGUUAUAGUUCAAAUCAUGAGAGAAAGAAAAAGAAGAAAAGCAUGUAAAAAAAGCAAUGUGGAGUGAAAAAACUCAACUGUUGUA